UACGUAGGGUGCAAGCGUUGUCCGGAAUUAUUGGGCGUAAAGAGCUCGUAGGCGGCUUGUCGCGUCGACCGUGAAAACUUGGGGCUCAACCCCAAGCCUGCGGUCGAUACGGGCAGGCUCGAGUUCGGUAGGGGAGACUGGAAUUCCUGGUGUAGCGGUGAAAUGCGCAGAGAUCGGGAAGAACAUCGGUGGCGAAGGCGGCCUGCUGGGCUCUUGCUGACACUGAGGCGCGACAGCGUGGGGAGCAAACAGG
rnacentral:rRNA from 1 species